rnacentral:rRNA from 1 species
AUGGCAUCGGCGCGCUCCAUGAUGCUCCAGGCGCUGUUGAUCGCGGCGGCCCUCGUCGCGGCGGCGCCGCGCGUGCUCUCGGACCCGCCGCCGCUGCAGGACUUCUGCGUGGCCGACCUGAAGGCCGCCACGGCGGUCGACGGGUUCCCCUGCAAGGCGCCGUCGACGGUGGCGGACGACGACUUCUUCUCCGACGCCAUGGUCGCCGCGCCCCGCACCGACACCAACCCCUUCGGCGUCAACUCCACGCGCGCCACCGUGUCGGCCUUCCCGGGCCUCAACACGCUGGGGCUGUCCAUCACGCGCACCGACCUCGCCCCGGGCGGGCUCAACCCGCCGCACUCGCACCCGCGCGGCUCCGAGCUCGUGCUGGUGCUCGAGGGCGAGGUCAUGGUCGGGUUCACGUCCGCGGCCAACCGGCUCUACUCCAAGGUGGUGAAGAAGAACGAGCUCUACGUGGUGCCACGCGGCCUGCAGCAUUUCCAGCUCAACGUCGGCAAGGGGGACGCCGUGUUCAUGGCCAUGUUCGACGCCCAGUCGCCCGGCCUGGUCACGCCCACCCUCGGGCUCUUCGCCGCCAAGCCGGCCAUGUCCAUGGAGGUGCUCACCAAGACCUUCCUCAUGGGCGAAGACGAAGUCAGCGCCAUGAAAUCGAAAUUCGCCGGCUUCUGA